UGUGACUAUUGACGUCCUUCCCCGUACGCCGGGCAAUAAUGUUUAUGUUGGUUUCAUGGUUUGGUCUAACUUUACCGCUACUAAAUGCCGCGGAUUGGUUUCGCUGAAUCAGGUUAUUAAAGAGAUUAUUUGUCUCCAGCCACUUAAGUGAGGUGAUUUAUGUUUGGUGCUAUUGCUGGCGGUAUUGCUUCUGCUCUUGCUGGUGGCGCCAUGUCUAAAUUGUUUGGAGGCGGUCAAAAAGCCGCCUCCGGUGGCAUUCAAGGUGAUGUGCUUGCUACCGAUAACAAUACUGUAGGCAUGGGUGAUGCUGGUAUUAAAUCUG
rnacentral:rRNA from 1 species